rnacentral:rRNA from 6 species
ACGGGUGAGUAACGCGUGGGAACGUACCUUUUGGUUCGGAACAACACAGGGAAACUUGUGCUAAUACCGGAUAAGCCCUUACGGGGAAAGAUUUAUCGCCGAAAGAUCGGCCCGCGUCUGAUUAGCUAGUUGGUGAGGUAAUGGCUCACCAAGGCGACGAUCAGUAGCUGGUCUGAGAGGAUGAUCAGCCACAUUGGGACUGAGACACGGCCCAAACUCCUACGGGAGGCAGCAGUGGGGAAUAUUGGACAAUGGGGGCAACCCUGAUCCAGCCAUGCCGCGUGAGUGAUGAAGGCCCUAGGGUUGUAAAGCUCUUUUGUGCGGGAAGAUAAUGACGGUACCGCAAGAAUAAGCCCCGGCUAACUUCGUGCCAGCAGCCGCGGUAAUACGAAGGGGGCUAGCGUUGCUCGGAAUCACUGGGCGUAAAGGGUGCGUAGGCGGGUCUUUAAGUCAGGGGUGAAAUCCUGGAGCUCAACUCCAGAACUGCCUUUGAUACUGAAGAUCUUGAGUUCGGGAGAGGUGAGUGGAACUGCGAGUGUAGAGGUGAAAUUCGUAGA